rnacentral:lncRNA from 1 species
ACUUUCUUUUUAAAUGUUUAUGGUAGAAGAACAUCAAGUAUAGUUGUCAACAGACUUCUUAAUAUUACUGGUUGUGCCUGUGCCUCCAAAGCAUGGAUUUGAUAGCUCCAAUAUUGUAAUCUAAAUUUCCUGGCAAUGCCCCCACUGCUGGAUAGAUUGCUGUUGACAGCUUUUGACCAGAGGGAGCCAUUAGAUUUUGCUGGCUAGCAAACAAUUACAGCUUUGAUAUGAGCUACAAGGCUCUACCUCUCCCCUGAGUAUUAGAAGUCUGAAAAGAAGAGCUGUCUCCAUGAAGAUGGGCCAAAUGCCCUCCCUCCUGUGGCUGAUUGUGCUACAUCAUCCCAACAUGAUAAACCAGAAAUCUUUGAGUACCACAUCCUAAUUCUUAUGAAAAUCCAGAUACCAUUGAUAAUCUUUGCAGUAAGCAUGCAAAAAUAUGUAAACUGCUCUUACCAAAGCAAUCUGAAAGCAUAAUUUUUGUGACAAGAAUAAUAACUGUGUGAGAAAUAAAAGCAUUAAUUUUUCAGUGUUUCCAAAAAAAAAAAA